rnacentral:rRNA from 1 species
UACAGAGGGGGCAAGCGUUGUCCGGAUUUACUGGGCGUAAAGAGCUCGUAGGCGGUCUGUCGCGUCUGCUGUGAAAACUCGGGGCUUAACCCCGGGCCUGCAGUGGGUACGGGCAGACUAGAGUGCGGUAGGGGAGACCGGAAUUCCUGGUGUAGCGGUGAAAUGCGCAGAUAUCAGGAGGAACACCGGUGGCGAAGGCGGGUCUCUGGGCCGUAACUGACGCUGAGGAGCGAAAGCGUGGGGAGCGAACAGG